rnacentral:rRNA from 1 species
UACGGGGGGAGCAAGCGUUGUUCGGAUUUACUGGGCGUAAAGGGCGCGUAGGCGGUCAGCACAAGUCAGUUGUGAAAUCUCCGGGCUUAACUCGGAAAGGUCAACUGAUACUGUGCGACUAGAGUGCAGAAGGGGCAACUGGAAUUCUCGGUGUAGCGGUGAAAUGCGUAGAUAUUGCUCGGAAGGCCAGAGCCGAAGAGGCCCUACUGGUGCGUAACUGACACUGAGGCACGAAAGCGUAGGGAGCAAACAGG